ensembl:lncRNA
GGUCAAUGUGGUUGAACCUGUGUUUGAAAUUCACUGCUCGACUGAGGGACCUUACAGAUACUUGUAUGUAUGGGGUACAGAGAUGAGGCUACAUUACUUAGGUGAGGUGACCGGAAAAGAAGCAGCAGGUUUACCUCCUAUAUCUGCUCAGCCAAGCUCUGCCACAUGAAGAGAUGUACAGUAGACAAGGAAAAAUCAUGUGGAAAGGGAAGGAGGAGACUGGGGCUGUAAGAUGUCUGCUCCAGUGCACCUAAUCUUGCACCUCUCAUCCCUACACCUGUACUGGGAUGACCGGCAGUUGCAGGACCAAUCUUGACACCAUGGUGUCAUUUUAAAUGAACAGAAGGGACACAACGGGAAUGCUGCUGGACAGUUAUAUUUAAACUUUUGUACUAACUUUCAAUAAAUGUAGAUUAUUUUUUUAAGCGUGUGUCUUUAUUGUAUAAGCUUUGCUAUUAAGAUCAGGUAUGUUUCUAAAACAAGUAUUGUUUGUAUGUGGUGUAGCGGCAGUUCAUUCUGUAUUGUCAACUGUACAUGGUACAGAUACUAUUUUUACUUGAUUGAGAGUGUUAGACAUUUAUUUUUAUCUCCUUCAAUU